GUGACCUGUCAUGGUUACACAGAAUUUCACGUUUCUCUUAUUACUCUCGAUCUGAAUUCCAUUCCGAAGUGUUCAGCCAUCGAAAUCGUUGUAUUAAUAAUUCAUAAGCUUUAAAAUAAUGGAUAUUAGUGAUAAAGAUGCGCAUAGAAUCCUGGAAUUAACAGAAAGAAGAUGAUUAAUCCAUUGCUAAAGGGACCAGAUGAUUUUGCUACUUAAGCGUUUUGGAAUUCUGAACUAAUGCAACAAUAAAAGAUAUAACUAGAAAAUACAAGUAUCUUUGCCUUAAAUGAUAUCCUGACAAACACAAUAAUAGUAAAGCAGUUAUCAAUCAAUAAAUUAAAAAAAGAAAUCAACACUUCAUAUCAAAAGCUUUAAAGCAAAACUUUGUAAUAAAGACAAAAAGUGAAAAAGUAAAAUACUGACAUAGGUAAGUGUAAUAAUUUCCUGGUUCUCUGAUAUAAAUAAAUAAAUAAUU